rnacentral:lncRNA from 1 species
CGGCCGCGCGCCGCGGGGGGAGGAGACGGUCUGGAGUCCCCCCGCUGCGCCGGGGUUGGGGAGACGGAGGACUGCAGCGCCCCUUGGGGCUUCUGAGGCGCCCAGGUAACCUCACCUGGCCGCCAGUCUCCCGCAGGAGGAACAGACACGUUGGCCUGUGGCAAAGUGGCAACGUCAGGGCAGAAGGAUGUAACUGAUAAAAGCUGCUCACACCUAAGUAGCCAGGAAACAGAGAGAAAUGGAGACAAAUAUAUGAUACAGCCUACCAAGACACAUUCCUAGUGACCUUCCCAUCUUUGGCUUUCCAACAAUUCACAAGAACACCCUUAAUUAUGAAUUCAUCAACAAAUCAAUUAAGUCAAAGCUCCCAUGAUGUAAUCACUUCCCUAUAUCCUCCCGUUGAACAUCCUC